GAUGAAGAACGUAGCGAAAUGCGAUAAGUAAUGUGAAUUGCAGAAUUCAGUGAAUCAUCGAAUCUUUGAACGCACAUUGCGCCCGCCAGUAUUCUGGCGGGCAUGCCUGUUCGAGCGUCAUUACAACCCUCAGGCCCCCGGGCCUGGCGUUGGGGAUCGGCGGAGCCCCCCGUGGGCACACGCCGUCCCCCAAAUGCAGUGGCGGUCCCGCCGCAGCUUCCAUCGCGUAGUAGCUAACACCUCGCGACUGGAGAGCGGCGCGGCCACGCCGUAAAACACCCCACUUCUUCAAGGUUGACCUCGGAUCAGGUAGGAAUACCCGCUGAACUUAAGCAUAUCAAUAAGCGGAGGA
rnacentral:misc_RNA from 1 species